GUGAACGCUGCGACGGAUGCGUGAGUAAUAUGGCGGGUGCAAGGGUUAAUCGUGUGUACAUGGCGUAAAGCGUGUGUAGGUGGGUCGGUAAGUCGAUUGUGAAAGUCCUGGGCUCAGCCUGGGAAUUGCAGUCGGUACUGGAGUGCUCGAGUGCGGUAGAGGGGGACGGAAUUCUCGGGGUAGCGGUGAAAUGCGUAGAUAUCGGGAGGAACAUCGAUGGCGAAGGCAAUCACCUGGGCCUGAACUGACACUGAGACACGAAAGCGUGGGUAGCAAACAGGAUUAGAUACCCUGGUAGUC
rnacentral:rRNA from 1 species